AGAGUGCCUUUUAGCAUUUUGGAUGUUUAAUUAGCUAGAGUACGUAUCCGUGUUAUGUGACUGCGCCUGUGCUCACAAGCUAACCUAGCUAGCUUCCGUACAACACUGACAACGUGCUAGUUUUAAAUAAGCUUAUCUGCAAUAAAAUAUAUAUAUAUUGUAAUUUUUUAUAUUAUUUUAUAGCCGUUAAACGGCGAUCUUUGCUCAGUUAGGAGUGAGACUUUUACGUAUUUCCAAUGCGAGUUCAUCGCGCGAGCGCGGGAUUUUCAAAUUUCAAAUAACCGACAUCAGCGUUGCCCCUCGGUCGGUUUGGAUGCGACGAGGAUUUUACGAGUCAGCGGCAUUUGUUCAGGUUGGUACAAUAUUUUCUGACAUAUACUCUCCGUCCGCAGGUGUUAGAGCAGAGAACUACUGGAAACGGAAAACAGAAGUACAGACACUUGCCCUAAUGGAAAGUGUCCCAUUCUAGAGCUGAGAAGAGACAGCAGGACAGGGAAUCAUCUGCUAGUGUCGCGUCAGAUGUCUACAUGUCCACAAGUUGUUUAAGAAAAAGUAAGUAGAUACGACUAUUGCAAACACAAGGCAAGAAGUUAUCAGAGAUGAACCCUUCAUCACCGAGUUCAAAACCAGAUGGCCUGCUCUCUUCUGUGUUUCUGAGAAUAAAUUUAAGAGGACUACAACAGUUUGCUGCAACAGUUCUUCUCCAUGCUGGAUGGUUAUUCUUCAGACCUGAAAACGGUGUUUGGCAAGGAAGGCGGCAUUCAAGGACAAAAGAUUAAGAGCAUCAUGGUUCCCAUAACCCAGACUAACUCCAUUGAUGUCAGAAGAGUACAUCCUUUAAGCCCAGUGUGUGUUCCUCAAUGAAGAUCCUGGCAACCUUGUGAAAGAAUGGAUGAUCGUGGACGCCUUGAAGAAGCCAUGAUAGAGACAAUUCUUGAAGUUUUUGUCAUUCACAAAGAUGCAGAGGCAGAUGAUGACCCUGAAGAUGUAGUCAUCGUUUCAAGUCCUGGAUGAGUUGGGUAGUGUCCCACUUGCUGUGUUGUUGUUGUUUGCUCUUGUUAUAUGCUCUCAACCUCAGCUACCCUCCACUAAAAGUUGUUUGAAAUAUUGGCCCAAUGCUGUAUGUACAAUACUGGAUGUUAGUGACAUUUUGUAGCUGCCUUUGACAUUUGAAAGCUGUUUUAUCGUUUUUAUGAAGCUUAUAAAGUAUUCUAACCAG